ACUAUUGAAGCCUGGCUUGGAGAAUUUUGAGCAUUACUUUGCUAGCAUGUGAGAUGAGUGUAACUGUGUGAUAGUUUGAGCAUUCUUUGGCAUUGCCUUUCUUUGCGAUUGGAAUGAAAACUGACCUUUUCCAGUCCUGUGGUCACUGCUAAGUUUUCCAUAUUUGCUCUCAUAUUGAAUGUGGCACUUUCACAGCGUUGUCUUUUAGGAUUUGAAAUAGCUCAACUGGAAUUCCAUCACCUCCACUAGCUCCAUCACCAUCACUUGUUCGUAUUGAUACUUCCUAAGGCCCAUGUGACUUCGCAUUCCAGGAUCUCUGGCUCUAGGGGAUCUUCCCAACCCUGCAUCUCCUCCGUCUCCUGCAUUGUCAGGCUGCUCAGGAUUUGACCCUGGGAGGCGCUCAAAGCCCCUGGAUUAUAAUGACAGCUCUGUCACUAAUUUACUGUGUGAUUUGGGAAAGCCCUGACCUCCAUGAGCCUCACUCUCUCUGCCAACAGAAGGAAGGAGAUGAGAGAUUUUCCAAGGUGGAUUCCAUAUUGAACUUUGGACGAUUUGCAUUGCAACAGGAAACCUUGCUUUUGAUUGAUGACACCUAGCUAUUACUCUGAGUCACUUGCACUUUUUCAGACUGUUCAGCACCCAGCUGUUUAUGUGCAGUUAAUGUACGUCUUUGUCACUCGCUGCCACUGUGAAAUUACAGGCUCCUGGAGUUUGCCUAGCGCUGUCAUACUGUGGGCUUUCAGGAAAUGUGCAAAUCAUCAGCUCAUGUAAGAAGUUUCCCACACAGUUUGGUUGUAUCUCUAAUAGAGUUCUCUGUUCUGAGAAAUAAUGUAUCAACGAUUAUGAUUUCCAGUAAUGCCUGGC
ensembl:lncRNA